GGGCUGCGCCGAGCAGGAGCAGGCGGCGGCCGGGGAGCUCCUCGUGCGCCCGCCGCAGCCGCGCGGCCGACAGGGCGGGAAGCAGAGGGGAGAAGUCCGGGCGCCGCCGGGGAGCUUCGGGGGGCGGUCGCCGGAGAAGGAGCACAGCCUUUUUAUCCUCCCACUUGUUGCCCACGACACUUAAGUGAUGAGGGCAAAGGUCAAAGUUUUUUGUUUUGGAAAGUGAUGAAAAUAUUAUUUUUGGGAACCAUGAGUCAAAGUCAGGAACGCAACCUUCUGGACCGAGCAUUGCUACUAACUUCGCGGGUAACCCGGUCCUUUGUAAGCCCCUUCCUCCAGCACGCUUCGUUAGGCAUUUCUGGUCAAGACAGAGCCUCUUGUGAAGGACCUGGUAGCACUGUUCGGAAGAAAUAAAAGGCCCAGCGAUCCCCAAAAAGCAAAGCGCUCGGCCCCUUUUCUCCUCGAAGAUUGCAAGGUUCGCCUCUCUCAGACCUGCGCUUCUGCGGGUUCUGGUUCUGGCCUGCUUCCUCUGCGAGCCUGGCCCUGGUGUGACUCAGUGUGACGCCUGGUGGGUACAGGAUGCCGGAAUCCACAGGCCUCGCAGCAAAGGCCACAGUAUCAGUGUGGCCACACAGUCUGAUCUGAGAAGAGUGACCUCCAAAGGACCGCAGGCCAGAUUCUAGAUGGUGGCCUGGGAGUUUCAGGAGUGACAGACAUGAGAUGGAACAUCCUGGGCAACACUGGUCUUCGGAACCCAGGGUCCUUCAGGGAUAUUUAUUCUGGUGGAAUAGUUAUUCCCUAACUAAUCAGGCUGGCUAUUGAAUAGUGACCAGCAUGUCUUUAUACACACCACAUCCCAGAUCAAUAUGAAUAAUGUCUCACCUUCUUCAAAGCCAUAGCAAAGAUUUUUCAUUCAUAAACAGAACCAUUCCAUAAAGUGAACACCCAUAGAAGAAUUAAACUAUUUUAUCACAUUCUAAGCACCUUUAGGGUUUAAAUUGCAGGACAGAAUUUGAAAUUAGAUAUAAUUUUAAGAAUUGAUCUAUUUUCUCCUGAACUUUAGUUUUUAAACUCAUUUUAAAGGAAUUUAGCCAUAUUAUAUUUUUUAUUUUGUUAUUUGGAGACAUAAUUCUUUCUCUAAGGCCUAAGAAUCUAGCUAACGUUGAUCAAAAGAGGCAGCUCUUUGCUUACCCUUACUAUAAAUCAUGCAGUUUAGAAGAUAGCAAUAAAUACACUAAACAGGACAUAGUUUUUCAAGCCACAGGCUAUUAUUAAUUUGAGGAUAACCAAACUAUUAAUAACAUGUCCCCAUUAAGUUCACUUAGAAUCUCAGUGUUCCUUGCAAAAUAUCGCGGUUAGAAAGGAUAUCUUUGCAGCUCAUAAUUAGUUUUGGCUUCAUCCAUUAUUUUAAUAACUUUUAAAAUGUAACUAUGCCCUGAGCAACUACUUUAAAGAUACCAACAUGUGAUGUAUUAACUAUUGUUAUUCUCCUAUUAUUUUGUUAUGAAAUAUUGUUUUAUUUUUUUUUCCAUAAAAUAAAAAAAUGUAACUAUGCCUAAAGUUUCUAUUGAGAGGUCUUAGGGAUGUUUUUAUAAUGAAGGGAAUGGGAAGGAGGAAGGAACGAGGGCCUGGGAACAGAAGGGAGCAGACCAGAAAUGAGGGCCAUUUGAGGCCACUAAGUCUGGGGUGGGAAUGGGGGCGACGCUGGAAGCCCCUGCCUGCCCAUUCUAGCCGCAUACCUGGGGCCUGCCUUCUCUCUCACUGCACCACUAACAAAGGGAAGGGCUCAGGGGAGGAGUGAAGCUCUAUCUGAAUGCAGAGACCUGCUGUGAAUUGAAAGCCUCGCUCAGAAGCUCACUUGCUGAGAACCUGGUCUCCAGUACCCCUGUGUUCAGAGGGGCAGAAAUUUCUGCAUGGAUACCCUGGAGAAAUGCUCCUGGAGAUACUCCUGGCUGUUUUAUGAGAAGCUGAGCAAGUUUGCACAACAAAGGCCCCAGUCCCUCUCUGAAAAGAGGAUUGCUUCAUCAUGGAACCUGAACACUGCCAACCAGUGUGGCCCACUGCAGCCCUUCCAGGGGGAGAACCAGCAGUGUCUCCUGAGAUCCAUGCCAUGUUGGAACUUAGGACUCUGGGAAGCCAAGCAAGCACUUCCCCUCCUGCUCACAAGAACAGAAUCAGCUCUGGCAAGCAGCUCGAGAAGAAGGGGACUCCAGGCAUAAGGCAAAUACCACUGAUAACGACCCUGGGCCUGUAGUUGUGCCAGAACAAGAUCCUAACUGGAACUAUCAGAAUGGACAAGUGUCAUGGUUUAUGUCUGUGUCCCCCAGGCCUCAUGAGUUUGAAUUGUGCAUUUGUUACUUGUUAAUUGUAUAGUGCUUGGGUUGAUGCUGUUAGUGCUACACCCACUUAGGGGUGGAGCCAGGAUGUGAUGUAAUGGCAGGAAGAAGGUGUCUUUUUCUCUUUGCUGGUUCGAGUUUGCUGUUUGCAGCCACCAUGAAAGGCAGCCCAGCCAUGCCUGCCUGCCUUGGAGUCAACUGAGUGUGGACUGAAACCUCCAAAAACUGUAAGAAAUAAACCUUUGCUUUCACAACUUUGGGCUUCAGGUAUUUUGUCUCAGGGACAAGUAAAAAGUAACUAAGACAGAAUUUGGUACUGAGAGUGGGGUCGUUUGCUGUGACUAUACCUGACCAUGUUUUUUGAAAGGCUUUGGAAAUGGCUUGUUGGCGGAGUUUGGAAAGGUUUGGACAUGUCGCCUGGAUGCAUAGAGCUAGAGCAGCUUAGGAUCAGAAGGCUGAUAGAAAGCUGGAUGGUAAAGACCAGGCUUGGGAGGUUUCUGCUGGGAAGAAGGACUGGAUUGGUCGUUGGACUCCACAUGAUGUGUGUUAUGGAUUGGCAGAAAGUUUUUUUGCAUUUUGCUCCUGCCCAGAGACUUUGCCUGAGACUGAGACAAAGGGCAAUGGACUGAUUAAUCUUGAAAAAGAAAUUAAAAAGCAAUCAAAUCUUGAGGCUGUGGCAUGGCUAUUGUUGGGGGCUUUCAGCCAGCUUUAUGUUUCAAAUCAGGAGCAAAGAGCCCAGCAGGAUAAUUCACAAUGCUGUGAGUUUGGCCAGAAGGAAAAUUCCAGGAAGGCUGUGGAUUGUAAAGACAGAGCUGAGAUUUUGAUUCCUGAAGAGAAACAGAGAGAUAAGAAAGAUGGCCCUAGGGCAUCCCAAGAAUCGGGUCCCCACCCUGUGCAGCCUCACAGCAAAGGUAAAAAAAUUUGCUCAGGGAGAAAAGCUGCAGAGUGCCAUGUUCCAGAAUGGUGACAGUGGCCACAUGAGGUUCCAGAAUGGUGGCAACAUAGAGAAGCUUUUUCUCACAAUCAGGUAAACAGAGCCCUGUGAUCCAGGCAAUUGACCCCUAUAGCCAACAGAGAAAAAAGCCUGGCUACUGCUCCAGCUAGCAGCAAACCUUGGCAGCAUCCACAAGGUGCUGAUUUUAGGUGCAAGGAAAAUGCACAAAUUCUGAGGAUAAGAGGCUUCCACCUCGAUUGCAAAGGGCCUGGCUGGCCAAGCAAUGGCCCCUGAGAGGGCAAUUUGUGAAGAUGUAAGUGUAAAGCCAGAGGUGCAGUGGAGACCCCAGAAGUUUAAAAAAGCCAGGAAUGUGGAUGAUCCGAGGGAAGCUGCAAAAAGCGAGCAGAGAAGAUUUAAGAAAAAAGCUGUGAGAGUUAAAAUCACCAGAGGUGCCCUGAGGGUAAAAUCAUCCAAGCCUUUUGGAGCUUGCAACCAGAUUGCUUCAGAUGCUGAGUGUAAAACUCUAGGACUUAAUGUUUGCCCUGCUGGAUGUGGACUUGCUUUGUUUCCAAUACUUUAUAUUCUUCUGUUUGUAACUUUUGGAAUGGUAAUGUUUAUCUUGUGCCUUUCCUUUUCAGAAAUGUUUAACCUUGUUUCAUUUGUACAGGGGUUUACAGUUAAGAGUUUGCCAUAGAUCUUAGAGGAGACUUGGGACUUGGACUUUUCAGUAAUGCUGAAGCUGUUAGGACUUUGGCAACUCUUGGAGGUGGACUAAAUGUCUUUUGUAUAAAGUAUGUAUAUGAGUCCUGGGGGCCAGGGAUGGAAUGUCAUGGUUUAUGUCUGUGUUCCCCAGGCCUCAUGAGUUUGAAUUGUGCACUUGUUAUUCAUUAAUUGUAUAGUACUUGGAUUGAUGCUGUUAGUGCUACACCCACUUAUGGGUGGAGCCAGGAUGUGAUGUAAUGGCUGGUUCGAGUUUGCUGUUUGCAGCCACCAUGAAAGGCAGCCCAGCCAUGCCUGCCUGCCUUGGAGUCAACUGAGUGUGGACUGAAACCUCCAAAAACUGUAAGAAAUAAACCUUUGCUUUCCCAA